GCGCAGAAGGAGGCUGCAGAAGGAAGGAGAGGAGAGGAGAAGAUUAACGGGGCUGAGAAAACGGGACGGGCAGCGAUCGCCUCGAGAGGCUCCAUCGAGUCCAGCCUCACACACAAACACGCACGCAUACACCCCCCCACACACUUUGCUGUGGAGCGUGCACGUGUGUGGGCACUCACCACAAGUGCAUGUGUGAGUGUGAGGAUUCAGCCAGUUGGACAGACGCAGCGGCGGCUCGGAGGUCCUUGUGGAUGCGGCGCGUCAGGUAGACCAUGCCCUUCACUUGUGCCUGCUUCUGUGGUCUGAAUGGCUUCUGUCGAAAGAAGAAAAAACGGGACCAAGUGUCAGAAGAGGAGAUUGAUGAAGACGGGCAUCACUGGGAUGAGGAAACGGUGGUGUGACAGCAGCGCUGUUGGCUGAACUCUCUCCAACUUUAAAACACUGUAACAUAAGACCAAGGUUACAGGUUCUCUCCGUAUCAGGUGUCUGGGAAUGUUUCCAUAGUGGAAGUGAAGGGGUUUCAGGUUUCAAAUACAUAUUUUUAUUCAGGUGUUUCAUGGAAAAGAUUUCGUGUUCUACUUCUUUUUCUACUCUUACAAACCAAAAGGCCAUCCAAAUUUUUUCUCAUGAUAAGACUGAUGAAAAUGAAAGCCUCUGAACUCUUUGCUCAUCCUCCAUUCCCCAAACCUGCUAUGCUCUAAUUUUCCCUGGGCAGCUGACAGAGAACUUGCCUUUUGCUGAUAAUAUUCAAAAGAUAAAAAAGAAAAAAAAAAAAGGUCUGAUUCAUUUCUUGCCAGUGUGCGAAGAGACAAAGGUCUCUUAAAAUCCAUUAUUCUGUUCAGGCAUACCUCUCCUCAAUGCCCCGUCUUUCCCAUCUCUACCUUAAUUGUGCCUCCUCUGCGGAGGCUGGAUUGGAACCGAAGCUCCGUGGAGCUCUGCACCUUCUCACCUGCUUACUUACGUCGGAUCGACUUAGCGAAAACUUCAGCCAAGUAAGAAAGUGUAGAGCAAUUUCCAGAGUCGCCCGCUGAGGGGCCCCGAGCCCAUCUCGGAUUUUCACGCUGAGCUGACCCCGAUCUAAAGCCAAAGCAGCUGUCCAAUCAGUGGCUUAGCUGGAGUGUGAAGAAGGGAGUCAAGGGUCAGAAUGAGAAACGGGGGCUUGGGGAACGUCACUCCCCUGGUGCUGCCGCUUCUCUAAUAUCCGGACGAGUAAUUACCGAGAGGAACACCCACAAAUGCUGAUGCUUCAAUUAAUGUACGUCCCUGUGGGAGUUGAGUCUCUCCCCGCAAAUGCCACCACAAUGCACUUCCAGCUGUCACCUGUUAGAGGGCAGGGCGACGCAAGCAUGCUAGGGUGCUCAUGUUUUUUCUUGGCUGCCACAAUGGUGCUUUCAAAGUAGAAACAAGUGGUUGACAUAUCUUCUGCCGCCAUGCCGCAGGCUUUCCCGGGCGCAUCCGGACGCCCAAAGACAAAAGGCCAGCGCACUGGUCUCAUUAGCAUGCGUGAUUAUGCAUUGCACGUCCAGUCAGGCGGUGGAGAUGUAAUUAACCUUUUCCAGCAGGAAACAGAUGCCUGGAUGUCACACACACACACACACCCCAACACACACGUCUGCUGUCAGGGAAACAAAGCCGACGUCACGGUGUCACGGAAACAAAGCCCCGAAUGCGCCGCCUGGCACUUUCUGAUAAUCCCCUCACGCAUAUUUACAUUCAUGGCUUAGAAUACGCCUCGGUGACACCGCCUCCGCCCUCUUACCCCCUUUCCUCUGUUGACAGCCACCGACCCAAGUCACACCUUUUCCGUUCUUUUCGCCUCAACCGGCCCCUAGUAGUCUCAUCCCUGCUAUCUUCCUCUUUUUCAUCAUCUCUCCUUAAACUUUCUCCUUGGUCGAAUUCAUCCAUUUAUUAUCAGUGGAUGGUACAUGGCCGUGCAUGGCAGCUCCCAUAGAUUAGCCCCCACUCUUGCAUUCCCAUAUCAGGGAUUUCUUCAGGCGGGUAAGAAAGUGAAGAAAGAAGCUGCUUUACGACAGAUUAAUGGACGGCCCUGAUUGCGCCUGUUGGUGUGGCUCUGCGCCUGAGCUGAAUCGACUGUUUACUCGUUCUCCCGCCGCUACGAGCGGCGAAAUGAAACAAAGCAAAAGCCAUUUCACAGUGUAGAGCACCUAUUAUGAUUCAGUGUGUUACGGCGCAGCCCUAAUGAGAAAGAGAGAAAACGAGAGGAGGAGCAGGAGGAGAGGAAGAGACGAUAAUGAAAGUGAGUUGGGAGGGGAGGCAAACGCUAGACAGAGCAGUCAUGCUAAUUGGCUACAGUGGAUAACUUUCUUCGGCGAAAACGAAGGUGUGUGGUUAAAAGAAAGGCCUUAUCUGUCUACAUUGCUCUCAUUUAACGAUCCCUCCAUUUCACCUCUUUUAAUGAGAGGAAUAUUCACCGAGGUAAUGGCACAGAACUCGGAGUUGACGGCAAUUUGUUGCUCACGCACGCCACGCUCCGAGACGGGGUCUGAGGCGAGGCGCUCUCCUUGCCCCAGCCUCCUGCUAUGGAUCAUGACAAUUUUCAGGGAUUGUAACUCAAGGACAAACAGCUAAAAAUAGAAGGGUGGUGCACGACUCCUGCGGUAGCAGCGAAGGGAGGAGGUGAGUACAGGGAAGGACGGGGGAGGGGGGAGUGCGAAAACGACUCCUGUCGCAUUAGAUUUGGGUCAGAGGCGAGGGAAAAGCCGGCGAAGCGGAGAGCGUUCCAGACGGCUGGGAGAUUCAUCGCCCGCCGCUCUGUGCUCCUCUCCUCUUUUAACACCUCGCCUUUAUCCUGCACAGACAGCGGCGGAGGGCUGGGACGCCGGGCGAGUUUCACGGAAUGGACGGGGAAGGCAUUGCAAAACAUUUGGAAGAACAACAAUAAAAAGAUACAAGGAUUAGUACCAGGUUAGACAAGGAGGAUAGAAAGGUUAGUGUGUUGUAAGGUGCACCUUGCUUGGAUCAUACCAUUCAAUUUAUGGCCUCCUGUUGCAUUAUUCACAUGAUCCCAGGUCCUGGAAAAAAUACAAUAAAACACACCAUGUUAAAAAACAAAAACAAAAUUCCAUCUACGUGGAGCAGACACAAUGUGUCAUCACAGUUUAUUAUGUAAAUAGGACAAACACAGCUAAAGAAAAACUCUAGUUGUCCACUACUUUGGAAAUGGCUUGGAAACGGGGUACAAUGACAGACUGUUUGGGGCCCCAUAAUGGCAGAGUGACAUUUGACCAGCUCUGUUGGAGGCAGAUCAUGUAUAGAUGGCAAUUGGGAGAUAUUUGGUGGAGAAAAAGCUGAAAACACAAAUGUUAUCCAGGUUCCAACAUUUAAGCCCCUUUUGCACUGCCCAGCCAGACCCGGGCUGAUCUGGGCCGGUCUGGCUUAAAAGCAGGGCUGAUCGUUUUUGCAUUAGCACUUCCAGUCCCACCCGGCUCCCUGGAACCCGUAGAGCUGCGGUUGAAAUCGGGCCGGCCAGACCGGGCUGGUUUGGAGUUAGCUGUUGAUCGGUUCAUUGGCUGCGCGGGCGGGACAAAGAUCAGAUUUCUGGGUCAGAGGAGCACUAGACUUUCUCGAUGUCUGUCAUUUCAAUGUGCUGCAUCAAUAAAUUCCCGUCAUAAUCUAUUCUUACCCCUCACUGGGAUUACAAUCACCUCUUCAGCCAAAGAUUUGAAUGUUAAAUGUAAACAACACUUCUCCAAUUGAACUGAUCAGAAGUUGGUAAGGCUGUGGACGAGGGGAUUUCCACGUCUGGGUUGCUCUAGCGGGGAAAUCCGACCAGUUCUGCUGGCCACAAGUCCAGCUCUGAGACGACAUUCAGAUGAUAUUUUUAUUUUAUUUUUUUCGUUAAAUGUAAAGCUCAGGUAAAUGUUUCCGUCAGCUUCCUCGCUCAUGAACGCAUUCAGAAAGAGCGGGACGGGAGAACCAAGAAGGAAACUUGAUAGCCUCGGUAGCUUUAGCAAGAAUUUGAUUUACGUGACGUAUCCAGCUCAAUGCGAAACCACCAGAGCUAUGCUGUUCGAACGGAGCCGACCUGGGCUAAAAGGGCUUUAGUAAUCUGUGGAAAAGCUCAAGAAUUUGUUGGAACCCUAUGUUAAGCAAAACAUAGUCCCACAUGUGGUUGGGGACUGUAUGGCAAAAAGGAUCUUUUUGUGGUUUUGCCCACAGGUUCCAUAAGAUCUUGGUGGUUUUUACUCACUGGUGUGUGACACAGGGCAGGUAUGAGUGCUAAUAAGGUCCAUCUUCAUAAAAUGGGUUUCCUGCCCAUUUGGUUUUCAUGUAUAAUUCUGGACAGAUAGUCGGUCUCAACUGGAAACAAGAUGCACACAAUUUAUCUGGGUCCCAUUUUUAACUCAUGGGUUGAAAAAAAAAUUGUGUAUCUUCAACUUUAAUAACUUGCUUUUCAUCUUCUAUGUCUCACACAAUGAGAUAAAAAAGUAAAUACCAAAACUGUUAAUGAUAGUGCCUUAGCUGAUAGGAAUCAAAUUGCUUAAAUGGAUAAUUCAGGACCAGUAAUAGUGAACAAACACCAUUCAUUUACCUACAGGAGCUAACUUUCUUAGCAGUUUUUUUCCCCUAAGGCUAAUGUUUAGAAAAACCUCAACCAACUAUUGUGACUAUUCCUUUAAUAAAACACUUAUCUAAAUUGCCAGACUGCAAUGCAAAACUCAGAUGGUUAGAUUGCCUUGUUGACUGAAAACCAACUGUUAAAAUGGAUUGCUAUGUUUUCUUUUUAACUGGGGAUGUGAGCAGUUCAUAUGGUGGAAACGAUUUUCUUAACUUCCUGUUUUAGAAAUGCACUGUUUUUCUGAGGAUUAUGAAAAUAAAAUAAUGACAUGCCAAGACCAAAGCAAGUGGCUGCGUUUCAUGUAAACAUUACUUAUAAAGCUCCAAAAUGCUGUCACAUUAGCCAGUAAUGUACCUUUACGCCUUUGGUCAUUUAACCUAAGACUGCAGUUAUGAACGGGCCACUACAGUGUCCCUCCAACAGGAAACAUAUGAGGCGCAUUUGACAAGAGAUGCUAGCUGCGUUUCGAAAACAAAUGAGCGCAAAACGUUUCCCAUAAUUCUAAUAUUUACAAAAAUACAUAAUUUUGCUUUUGUAGUGUUUCCAUUAACUAAGAAAAGCAUUUAGCAUAGCAAAAUGUAUGAGUUUGUUUGCGUGACAAGUCAUUGAAAACUAUAUUUAUAUUUCACCUCAUCCUAGCACAAAAAGCUUUCUAUUGAUCAACGUUUCCAUUAAGCAAAUUUGUUUUCAGAAUUCCAAUUUGUGCAAUUUCAUGGUCAAUGGAAAUGCAGGUACUAUAGGGCAGAAGGUGAUGUGUAAAACUUCUACAAAAUGCAUUAGCUUAAACUGAUAGUUUGAGAUUUCGUUAAAACGACAUCAGAUAAUUCUCUUGCCACUUGUGCUUUCAAUAGGCUGUUCUGCAAUACCUUUUUUACAGACCAGUCUCGUCUUCUGUUUUUUAAUUCACUGCCAAUUUCUAAAGAAAUGUCUUCCAAUGUAAACAUUAUUAUUAUUAUAAUGCAAACAUGACUCAUUCACGGUUCCACAAUUUUUAAUUAGGAAGUAUUUCUCGACUUUGAAUCCUAGAACCAAAGAAGAAAAAAAAAGUACUGCAAGAUCCAUACAUUCCAUUUAAUCAUUUUCACUAGAUGUUCAAAGUUUUACUUAUAUUGUGUCCCUUUUAAGGAAACCUAAGAACUGAUGAAUACCUGAAUAUUUAAUAGAAUGAUCCAGUAAAAUCGUGAAAGCAGUCAGAUUUGAAAAUAUUGGCUUAAAUGUUUAAUGUCCAAUAUUUUUUUAAAUCUCCUUUGAUGGCCCAAAUUAAUUCUCUGUGAAGUUAAAUAAGCCAGAAAUAAAUGAACAUUUUAGGUUAUAGUUGGAAGUGACAGGGCUGGCCUUUUGGGUCCUCCUGGUAAAAUGUAUGAUUUAUUAGAGAAGCAUAUUCACACUUUAGACCUCAAAGUGUUGAAGGAAAUAAAAAAAAAAAAAAAAUUAUCCAAUAAAUUUUUUAAAUUAAAUUUUAAAUUACUUUUUUCUUUUAAAUAUCUGUUUUUUGAUCACAAAAAUAACUGAUUUAAAUUAUUUAGUGACAUGUUAUUUGUCAUGCUUAGCUUUCUGAUUGGCUGCUGGACACUAAUGCAAAAACAAGAAGUCUGGAUAUGAAACAAAGUUUGAUGUUUGAUUAAUAUAAAAUGUUACAUAUUUUCUAAUAAUCCUAAGAAGAGGAUUGUGGUGGUUUAUUAUCAGGUAACAUAUUAUGACUUUAUCAAUCUGAUAUUUAUAUCAUAAUACAUUACCUGACACUAAAAAAACUCAUGGCCAGUUAAAAUAAUGUAUGUUUUGAUUAAAGAAGAAAUAAAAUUAAGAUCAUACAUGAAUAAGCCUGUUCAAGCAAUAAGUCAUGAAAAAUAAUGGCAGCAACAGAGCUAUAUUAAUGAUUAAUUCAUGGCGCUAGCACUCAUCAAUUAUCAGCCAUUGGAGGAGACGUGGGGCGCUGCCGCAACAAGCCCCGCCUACUUUGGAGCUGCUACAUAUGCAGCGUUUUUGGGAAAUUGUAGUCUGUGAUUUUACAUGAAAGUUAUAGAUUUACAAACUUUUUAUGAUGUUGUGAGAGCUCUGGUGGAGCCAGGUGCACACUGUCAGAAAUAAACAGAAACAGGACAGCCUUCGUCUUCUUUGUGGCUUUCACCAGUAGCAACAGCCGGCUGGCCAUCACGGGAAAAAAAAUUCCACUGCAGUUUUUCGAGCUACUUCCACUUUGAUAUGGCCGAAAAACCAUCUCUUCCUAGCACAACAAAUUUUUUAUCGAAAGACGUGAGUUUUUUCAAAAUUUGUAUGUUUCCAUUAAGCUAACUUAUUUUAGCACUUUCUGCUAGCAGUAAUUCUAUGGUAAAUGGAAAUGCAGCAAGUGGCAGAGAAGAUGAGGAAAAAAGAACAGGCCUUUAUCCAUCUCAGCAUCACCCUCGUUCCAAUUUCUACUCGUCUGCAGAAAGCAAGCACAUGCAGGCAUGCUAAUAACACAGAUUAGAGAGUACAAACCAGCCAAAACCCCAUCUCCAAACUCUAACCCACACACGCACGAAUACACACACUCACCGUCAGCACACCUACAUCGAUGUAUUGGACACAUCUAGCCAUUUAACAGGAUGUCUACGGUCAGACCUGACGGUGUGAUUCUGAAGAAGCGACUGGCACCGUUAAAUAUCUAAUUCCCCUUCACGUCUAGAUGAAAAUAAGGUGCAGAGCUGAUUAGAUUGCUGCCUGCUGUGCCAGCCUUCGGGUUUGUGCUGUGUUCAUUACCAGCCCCGACCUCCAAACCCCCGGCCCCCAACCAAUCCUAUCUCCAUCCAUGCUCACCUGCCAGCUGCAAAUAGUCUCUGAUAGAAAAGCAAUUCUGACACACUUGAGAGUUACGGUCGAUGCCUGAGGAGUGAUGACAUUAAGUCAAGUAUGAUUUAUUUAGAAAUUGCCACGCUGUCAGGCUCGAGUGGCUGUGAGAAAUUACUGAAAUUUAGAACUUCAAUUCCAAAGAGUUUUAGUAGAGGUGCUGUCAGUGGAUGCAGAAAGUGACUCAGAUAUAUUACAAUUAGGACAAAAGUUCGACUUUUUGUCCUUCGAGGUUUUGCUUUGAAAAUUUCUCAUGAAAUAUUUGCAAUCUAGAAAGUUUUGUGGAUGUUUGAGAAGUUUAGGUGAAAUGUGAAAAGUACUUUUGGUGGAGACGCAUUAUGUUGUGCUUUAGAUUACAAUAAUGUUAAUCUAACAUUAUUGUUAGAUUAACAUAAUGUUAAGUUAUAUUUAGUUACAUUUCAAUCCGUGUUUCAGGAACUAGCGAUCAUUCAUGGAACUUCUGUAAACAUGCAGCACUAGCAAUACAGUUAAUGCUACAUGUUUAGCAUUGAGGCGCUAGUUUAGGCUUGAAUAGCUUCACCAAUAUGCUAACUCCUUUUAGCAUAGCUUGAACACAACUUAAACCUUUUUCCAGCAUCCAAUCAGAUCGUUUCUUUAGAUGCAAAAAACAAAAACAAUCUGUAGUGCCUUUGUCGUAGUAGUUUGUUGCUUGUCCGUCAGACUUAACGUUGUACCAGAAACAUAUGUAUACAAAAGUUUUUACAUGGAAAAAAAAAUGCUAUUAAAAUUUUUGACAUGUAAUAAUCAAUGUAAUCAAUUAAUCAAUAUUGCAGCAUUUUGUAUAGACAAAGUAAUUACAGUUCAUAUUUAUUAAUGAUAAACAAUCUUGGAGACCAGAGUUUGAUUGCGUAUUGAGGCAAAUGGACCAGUUUGACUAAAGCGGAUUUAACAAGGCUGAUGUGACUCACCUAAUACAUUUAUUUCAAUUCAGCAUAAAUGACAAACCAGAAUAAGUAGAAAUACCACGUAAAGCAAAACUUUAGGGAAAAAAAUAAAUGUUCUUUGUGACUAUUUAUCUAAAUAUUUUAAGAAAAUACAGAAUUACAAACAAUAGAAUCUGACACCCAGCAGUAUAAGUAAACAAGUGAAACAAGGAGGCAACUGAGUGACAGUGAGGUUUAACUUUGUAGAACAUUUGGUUGGAUAGUCAUUCACAACUUACAUCUUAUAAAUAUUACAACUGACAUUAUGUUCAUCAUUAGCUGGAUGAUUGUCACCAUGGGGAUUACGUCUGGAAAAAAAUUAGGAGAAUGAGAAACAUAGACAAUAUAUUUAUAUAAAAACUGACACUAACUCUGCUCUAAAAAAGCCCCAUAAAGUAAAGAAAAUAUUCAUUUAAAAUAUCCAGCUCGUGUCUGUUGCAGUUUUCGAACAUAUCCUGCAGCCUUCGGUUGUAGUGGGCUGAAGGUUAAAGAAGAUGCUGAGUGAGAUUGGAACUUUAUACCAUCACCUUUAAGGGAGUUCUCGGAAAUACUGAACAACUUGCACAACCGCUCUGGGCUACGGGAACUUAUUUCACACAGCUGCUGAUCCAGGAUUUUAAACUAAGUAAACUAUGAGUAGUGUGGAUUAAGCUGCUUUUUUUUAAUUGUGCGAGGAAAACUUUUACACAUUGCCCAGAGGGCUGGAACAAAGGUUAAGUGUCCCACACAGCUGGUUCCAAACCACGAUCAGCCAGAAGCGAUAAAUUGAUUCUUCGCUCUUUUUUUCUCCUUCGCUUUCCUGCUUCACCUCACAUUUUCCUCUCACUCUUUUUUUUUACUCACUCAUUUUUCUCACACUUCUGCCAGAACUGGUCAAUACUGGAGCGGCUAUCGAGCAGCGGCUAAAUGAGACUUUGAUUCCCCCUGAGGUGAAUGGUGGGGGGUUAUUCCCUGGAACCAUGGGGUCCAGUCCUUCAUCAGGGACCUCUUCACUCAUUGAUGAAGCGUGCGAUUUAAACUCCAUUUGAUUUAGCCGUGCUUAAGGACAAUACUUUUCAUUAGCGGGUGAUAACAUUCAUCAAGAGCCAUCCAACAUGGCCGCUAAUGAGCCGAUCUGCUCUUGAACGUUUUGUUUCGUCUAGGAAACAGUGACGACGCGAAGACAGCGCUGGCGCUUUUUCAGUCAACUCUCUAAGCUUCCCGCUUCAUCUCCAACACGACCGUUUCUUGUAAAUGUAUUUAUGCCGAGGCUGACAAACGAUUAAAGUUAUUAAUCUGAUUGAUCACAGGGUUGCUGUGAACUAAUCACGAUUAAUUAGUUGUUAAAAAAAUUACGAGUUAAUGAGUUCUAAAUGUUUUUAUUAGGAUUGAUUAAAACAGGACGUAACACACAGUACACGGGAUUAUUUCUCAUGUCGUUGUUGCUUUUGUGUUUAUCAUUGUUCAUCUGUUUUUAUUUGUUCUCCGCAGCAUGUGUGUUACUUCUCUCGUGAAUGUAAAAUGAUGCAUUCAGUUGUUGUUGGCAACAGCAAUUGUCAACAAUUGUUGAGGUUCUGCCUGUUGCGCUCACAGCGCCGAUACUCACAGUGCGCUCCUGUCCGCUCUCCAGCUGUUUUCACAGAUUACUUUUGUAAGAAAAGGGAAAUUAGUCCGAUAGAAAACCAGCUACGGAAAAUAAAGGAAAUUAUGUUAAAACUCUGCAGCACAGGUGACGUCCAAAAAUACAGAAACCUGUGCAAUUAAUUGCUCAUUGAAAAAAAUGUAACCACACUAAAAUAACGUGAAGUAAUACACAAAUUUUGACAGCCCUAAUUCGUGUCACAUUAGAGACACAAACUACAAAGUGUUUUAUUUGGAGUGGUAUGUGACAGACCAACAGGAACAACAACAUAGUGGUAAUGUGAAUGAAAAUUAAGCACAUAGUAUUUAUUUGUAUGGCUUUAAUUUUGGUCAGAUGCCCGUUCACUCUGACACCACUGAAUAAAACAUAUAAUAUAGUUUUUCUGUCUUAAAUUUCAUUCAAGGUGGCACUAAGAAGGUGGUAAAAAGUCUCUAAAUAUGACUUGUGAUUGACUGGUUUUCAGCUCCGAUCUGGUCACAUCUAGUAGGUGAAAAAGAAUAGGAGGUCAAAAACAGGUAAGGAAAAAAUAAUAAACACAUUUUUCUUUGACUUACCUUCUUUUUUGACUUUGUCCCAGAGUUGAGCUGAAAACCCAACCACUCAUUUAAAUCUGAGAAAUGACGCCCACUGAACUCAUAGCAUGAGUACAACGUUUUGUAAAAAGCACAAGGAAGGGUGGAGGGAGUCAUACUGCAUCCAUGAGCCAGUGAAUAAAUGGAAAUGGUUUUUGGCAGGUAUGUGACGCCUCAGAAAACUGCUACCACAUAUCACAGUGAAUACACAAACCCUAUGUAGAAGCAUAAUGGUGGUAGCGUAAUGCUGAGGGGAUGAUUCCCCACGUAACGUCCAGCAAGAACAGGGAACAUGACAAACUGGGCAGGAAGAUGGACGGAACUAAAGAUGUCACAAUCUUUAAAUGACAAAAAACAGUCGUUAGAAUGAAUGGGUUGACCUUUACCAGUGCGCGCCAUCUUUUGCUGGUCUAUCACAUUAAAGUCCCAGAGAAACACCACAAAGUUUGAAACACAAUAUGACAAAGUUUGAAAAGCAUUUUUCUCAAUUAGGAGAUCUCUUGAACCAACAGAGUUUUUCUCUUCUUUGCUUGCAGAGCCAUCGGGAACAAACGCUAAAUGUUUGUUUUCCGCCGUCUGGCCUUGAAAACCGUCUCUCUGUGAGCGUUCCCAUUUACUCUGAAAAGAUUCUUUUGCAGUUUUUUUCACCCCAGUUUUGUACACACAUCCAAAAACACACACCACAGUAAAAGUGUUGCGCUCUCUCCCGUUUGUGGAGUUCUUAUAUUAUUCAUAUCUCAGGGCCUUUUGCUGUGGGAAACAAGCAAAGCUGAGAUGGAACAAGCAAGAAAAAAAAACAAAACAAGAAGGGACCUUUUGACAGAGCAACAUUGAUGAACAGCCCCGACAUAGCGAGAUACAUAAACAUGAGGUCAGAGAAGAUCGCUGAGGGAGAUGGAGGUGGAGAACAGAGCGAGCAACGGGAGAAAAUGUGAGCAAGAGAGAGAGAGACGAAGAACAGCGAAGAGGCAGAAAUAGAGCUUUAGAAAACGCUCUGUCGCUGACAAGCUCACGCUUUACUCACGAAACCCACCAAUCAGCCCUUUGGGACAGAUCAACCUGUGUGGUAUUUUGUGUGUGUGUGUGUUUGUGAUGGAACACACACAUAUAAUGGGAAACACCGCCUGGCGCGGCAGAGAGCAUCUUUGAAAUGCAGAACGCAUCAAGAGUCCUGGACAGCUCCGCUUUGCAGCAAAGCCUCAUUACAGAGACAGCAGCCUUAAAGCCGGACGAUACACACACACGCGCACCCGCCACUGAAUGUACACACACUCCUAAACACACGCAGAAACAUGCUAAUGCGGCCUUCUGCAUUUUUUGCAAAUCAAAUUGAAAUCUCAGCAGAGCAGAAAUGCUGUGAAACUUCUCCUUCCUCUAAUCCUUUCUGCCGUUUUCACUCCUUGUUCUCCAUACAAAUAAAGUUUCAUUUACCCCCCCCACUCCCUCCACCUCGCCACUAAUAUUGUAUUCAUGUAUAUUUGAUUGUGUAAACUCUGUGGAGAUUGGCUGCGCUGUAUCUGCUGUGCCUUUUUGAAAAUGCAUCUAUGAAUAAAUAAUGUCUCUCCGUUGAUUGAAAAAGCCAUAUUGCCAGAAAGCCAUGAUGAAACGAUAAUGUAAUAUCUGUCCUCGUCCUGAUUAAAGCCAAGCUUUCUCCUUCU